UUUAUUUUUUUUAUCAGUAAAUGUAAGUUAUAUUGACCAAAAAUGGAUAUGGACAGAAAUCCUGUACAUACCUGAGGAAGGGAAGCAAAGCUCCCAAACAAAUAGAAACAAUUACACUCAACCUGGGCAUUCCCAGGGGCACAAUGGCCAAACAAGGCUAAUAAUAAGGUUCAAAUUAAAACAUCAGAAAUGUAACAAAUGGUCAUAUGAGGUACCUUCAAAACCAGCCGCAGCAAGCUUCCUGAAGAGAACCAAGAAGAAGGCGAACCUCAAAGAAGCAUCAAGCUCAGGAAAAGUAGCUCAUCAAAACUAGAGCACUGACUGCAGGGAACAGAAUCUGAAUCACUGCACUUAAAGAUCAUAGCCGGCCAUCAAAAAAUACAUCUGACCAUAAUCUGAAUCCAGAUCUUCACUAAGACAAAUCCAGACUAUUUGAAAACUCCCAUCACAAUCCAAAUCUGAAGUCUGCAGUGAGACAAUCUGUAACCAGGCUUCAAACUAACCAAGCUCAAUCAUCACAACCAGCUCCAGCAAGCUUUAAGAAGAAAACCAAGCGAAAAAGGUAAUCCUCAAAGAAGCAGCAAACUCCGGGAACCAAACAAUCUAGAGAGAGCUGAAGACUUUCCAACAAACAGACUCCAGCUAGUAACAUAGCUCUUCAAAAUGCAGCAGGACAGAUCUGAAGUCUACUGAAGUCACACCACCAAAUCUUCAAUUUAAAGCACAUCUGAACAAAGGAAUAAACCCAGCAUCCACCAGAUUCAGUCUGACAAAGCUUCCAACCAGCCAAACCCAAACAGCAUUGGCUAGCUCACAACACUGCAGUAACAGUAAACAGGAGCUGAACCAGUUACUAGGACUGCAGGGAACUGAAACUGAAUCACUGCAGUUAACCCAUCAUAUCAGGCUAUCAAAAAUACAUCUGACCAAAAUCUGAAUAUGGAUUUUCAGUAAGACAAAUGUAGAAAACCUGAAAACACCCAACACUAUCCAAAUCUUAAAUCUGCAGCAAAUAAUGUGAAUUCUAGCUGAACUGCAGGAACCAGCAGCAAAUAAACUGUGCACCAGAACGACCACCAGCACUGAACAAGGAGCAAAUAAGCAAAUUCUGACCAGCCCAAAACCCCAGAACCUCCUGAAGACUCCACAGAAAAACUGAAACCUUCAAGAGAGACCCAGACCUUCAAACCAGCACCAGGAAGCAGAUCUGAAUUCAGUACCAGCAAUUCCGAUCAGGAUAUCAGCACUGCUCAUAUCAAUUCCUGCACAUCCCUGUAACAAACCAAUAUUCCCCUCUGUAACCGCCGGGGAACCUCUCUCCUCUUUUUCUUUAUCCUCAACUGUGUAACAGCUUUUAAUUCCUCUCCUUGUAUAAAUACUCGGCCUACAUCAAUACAAAGUGUGUAAAAAAAGGCAAGUUAGAGCCAUGCCUAUUCUGACAUGGUAUCAGAGCUAGCGAACAGCAGCCAUCAAAAUGGUCGACGCCCCAGCUGCUGCUCCUCCUUCUGCUACUCCUCUCUCUGCUGCUGCUUCUGCCACUCCCACAUCAUCCUUCUCCCAUAUUGUCACCAGUAAACUCACUUCAGACAACUUUCCUCUUUGGAAGGUUCAGAUUAGUGCCUAUCUCCAUGGCCAAGAUCUGUAUCAAUAUGUUGAUGGCAGCCUCCAAGCUCCUCCGCAACUCCUUCCUGACCAACUCACUGUCAACCCCAAAUAUUCUGCCUGGAUGUGAACCGAUCAAUCUGUCCUCAGCAUCCUAUUCUCUUCCAUCACUGAACCUGUCUUGUGCCAUGUUCUGUCUUCAACCAGUACACAUGAAUUGUGGAGCUCCCUCGUCUCUCUCUUCACCUCAAAAUAUCAAGCUCAACAGUUUCAAGUUCGUUUCCAACUUGCUUACUUGACUCGAGGAGAGCUCUCCAUCACAGAUUAUUUCUCAAAAGUGCAGGCACUAGCUGACAUCCCUGCCUCCACUGGCAAUCCCCUUCCUGACCAAGACUUUGUUACAUAUCUGCUCACUGGACUUGGUUCCACCUAUGAUUCGUUUGUCACCUCCAUCACCACGAGAUCUACACCAAUCUCCUCUCACGAACUCUUUCAACUUCUUCUUGUUCAUGAGAGUCGGCUUGCUCACUCAUCCAGAUCUUUGCUCGCUUAUGAACCUUCAGCAAAUGUAACAACAACUGGUGGCCGUGACCACCGUGGUCGAAGCUUUUCACGAGGUGGUAGAUCUAGGAGAAAUGGCAACACCAGAGGUCGUUCCUUCUCCUCCAACAGAGGAGGCCGCAGCAACAGUUACCCCAUUCCACCACCAUUCUCCCUCUCUCUCUCCCCAUCCACUCGCCCAACCUAUCAAGUUUGCAAUAAACUUGGCCAUGUUGCGCUUCAAUGCCGCCAUCGCUUCAACCAUUCCUACCAAAAUGAAGCCCCUCCUUCUCUCUCAACCAACUUCACAAACACCUUUACACCAUCCCCUUCUCUCCCUAACACCUCCUGGUACCCUGACUCAGCAGCAACCCACCACAUUACAAACUCCCUUGACAACCUUAAUAUGUCCUCCCAUCCCUAUACCGACGGUGAUCAGGUUUGCGUAGGCGAUGGCAACACUCUAUCCAUUCAACACAUCGACAAACUGAUCGGGAAGAUCCUCCCCACCGGUCCCAACAUUGAUGGCCUCUACGUGUUUCCACCAUCGUCAGCAUUCUCGUCUUCUCCCUCCACCCAUGUCGGCAAAAGGACCUCCCCUGCUCAGUGGCAUCAACGUCUCGGUCACUCCUCCCUUUGCCUGGUAUCGCGCAUCCUUCAUCAGCAUCACCUACCCUCCAGUCACUCAGACUCGUCCUUCUUCUGCUCGACCUGCCCUCUCGCCAAGAGUCAUCAGCACUUUUCUCUCCCAAUCAAGCCUAGGCCUCCAAGCCUCUUCAGCUCAUCUAUGCUGAUGUUUGGGGCUCGUCCCCUGGUCUGUCUAGGACUGGCUUCCGUUUCUACUUAUCCAUUGUAGAUCAAUGCACUCGUUUUUGUUGGUUCUUUCCCAUUAAAAACAAAUCUGAUGUUUCUCAUGUUUUUACCACCUUU